AUUUAAAUAGUUUAAUUUAAAACUUUGCAAUGUGGCUGCAAUAACACAAUACUAUAAUUUGUUUUGAAUC
rnacentral:tRNA from 1 species